UACGUAGGGUGCGAGCGUUGUCCGGAAUUAUUGGGCGUAAAGAGCUCGUAGGCGGUGUGUCACGUCGUUCGUGAAAACCUGCAGCUUAACUGUGGGCGUGCGGUCGAUACGGGCAUCACUGGAGUUCGGCAGGGGAGACUGGAAUUCCUGGUGUAGCGGUGAAAUGCGCAGAUAUCAGGAGGAACACCGGUGGCGAAGGCGCACAUCUGGCCCGAUACUGACGCUGAGGCGCGAAAGCUAGGGGAGCAAACGGG
rnacentral:rRNA from 1 species